rnacentral:rRNA from 1 species
UACGUAGGGUGCGAGCGUUAAUCGGAAUUACUGGGCGUAAAGCGUGCGCAGGCGGCUUCGCAAGUCAGGCGUGAAAUCCCCGGGCUUAACCUGGGAAUGGCGUUUGAAACUACGGAGCUGGAGUGUGGCAGAGGGAGGUAGAAUUCCACGUGUAGCGGUGAAAUGCGUAGAUAUGUGGAGGAACACCGGUGGCGAAGGCGGCAUCCUGGACCGGUAUUGACGCUGAGGCGCGAAAGCUAGGGGAGCAAACGGG